AGGUUAGAUAGCAUUUUUAACACCUUUGACAUGAAGAUUUAAGACAUUUUAAGAUUAAUUAGGACCUUAUCUUUAUACUAUAAAAUUUAAGACUUUUUAAAGAUUCUACUAGUUACCCUGCAGAAACUGCAGUUAAACUUAAUAGGUACAUUUUUAGCGCUUUCACAAAAAUGUAGACUGAAGCAUGUACUUCCUGUGUUGAAGAAAAUAGACUUUACAGAAAAGAAAGAGGAGUUCUUCAACGUGAAAGUGGUGCACUCGGCUUAGCUCAACUCAACCCAGGUUACCAGCCAUCCCUGUUCCCUUGGACAGGCAAGACCUCUGACGUGCCCGCAGUAGACCACUGGUUCUGAGAGAGCAAAAGGGUGUGGGACUCAGCACAUGUCCAUCUCCAGCAGGCAGUACGGAGGUAUACCGACGCCGCCACUCGCUACAGGUUACCUAACCCCAAUUACAACCCUGGAGACAAGAACCAGAACCGCCUCCCCCUCCAGAACCAGCCAAGUCCUCAGCGACAACAUCUGUCAGGUCAAAAAAUCUCGACUCCCAACGGUGGGACGGUCAACUCCAGUACCUGAUCAAUUCGGUCCCGAGGAGAGAUCAUGGGCUUCCCACACUGACAACUUAGAUCCUACCUUCCUCCUAAAGAGUUUCACCACAGAUAUCAAGACCAUCCUGCUCCCCGACCUCGAGGCCGUCCCUGCCUCAAAUCAAUGGGUGCCUGGAGUCACCCAUGGAGGCAGGGAGGCGGGGGGAUACUCUCACACCCUUUACUCCUUCCCGCAGUCCCAACCACCUUAAUCAUUCACCAAUCACCACACACCACACACGUGAACCAUCACCAGAAUACUAAUAGCCCACACCU
rnacentral:lncRNA from 1 species